rnacentral:lncRNA from 1 species
CCGCCUCAUAAAUUACUUUUUGUUAUAUAAUUAUGUCUUACUGCUAUUCUAACUUUAUUAUAUUAUUGUACUUGACUUAAUUAUCAAGUCAGCAAUGGACUCAAUCACCAAAUCAUCAAACUCUACCGAUAUUGAAUUAACAGACGCAAUUACUGAAGUUGUGCCUCUUAGCGCAGUCAAGCUCCACGAUCGUACCUCCAUAAUUAAAAUCAUAGUCAUAGGG